GACGAACGCUGGCGGCGUGCUUAACACAUGCAAGUCGAACGGUAAGGCCCCUUCGGGGGUACACGAGUGGCGAACGGGUGAGUAACACGUGGGUGAUCUGCCCUGCACUUCGGGAUAAGCCUGGGAAACUGGGUCUAAUACCGGAUAGGACCACGCUCUGCAUGGAGUGUGGUGGAAAGCUUUUGCGGUGUGGGAUGGGCCCGCGGCCUAUCAGCUUGUUGGUGGGGUGAUGGCCUACCAAGGCGACGACGGGUAGCCGGCCUGAGAGGGUGUCCGGCCACACUGGGCCUGAGAUACGGCCCAGACUCCUACGGGAGGCAGCAGUGGGGAAUAUUGCACAAUGGCCGCAAGCCUGAUGCAGCGACGCCGCGUGCGGGAUGACGGCCUUCGGGUUGUAAACCUCUUUCAGUACCGACGAAGCGCCAGUGACGGUAGGUACAGAAGAAGCACCGGCCAACUACGUG
rnacentral:rRNA from 1 species